GUUGUAGGAAGAACAAUGCGUCGAAUAGGGGGCACCUGGACGUACUUACAGAAAGCCAGGCUAACUACGUGCAAGCAGCCGCGUAUACGUAGGUGGCAAGCGUGUCCGGAAUUAUUGGGCGUAAAGCGGCGCGCAGGCGUCUUUAAGUCUGAUGUGAAAGCCCACGGCUCACCGUGGAGGGUCAUUGGAAACUGGGAGACUUGAGUACAGAAGAGGAGAGUGGAAUUCCACGUGUAGCGGUGAAAUGCGUAGAUAUGUGGAGGAACACCAGUGGCGAAGGCGACUCUCUGGUCUGUAACUGACGCUGAGGCGCGAAAGCGUGGGGAGCAAACAGGAUUAGAUACCCUGGUAGUCCACGCCGUAAACGAUGAGUGCUAGGUGUUAGGGGUUUCGAUGCCCUUAGUGCCGAAGUUAACACAUUAAGCACUCCGCCUGGGGAGUACGACCGCAAGGUUGAAACUCAAAGGAAUUGACGGGGGCCCGCACAAGCAGUGGAGCAUGUGGUUUAAUUCGAAGCAACGCGAAGAACCUUACCAGGUCUUGACAUCCUUUGACAACCCUAGAGAUAGGGCUUUCCCCUUCGGGGGACAAAGUGACAGGUGGUGCAUGGUUGUCGUCAGCUCGUGUCGUGAGAUGUUGGGUUAAGUCCCGCAACGAGCGCAACCCUUGAUCUUAGUUGCCAGCAUUCAGUUGGGCACUCUAAGGUGACUGCCGGUGACAAACCGGAGGAAGGUGGGGACGACGUCAAAUCAUCAUGCCCCUUAUGACCUGGGCUACACACGUGCUACAAUGGAUGGUACAAAGGGCUGCAAAACCGCGAGGUUGAGCGAAUCCCAUAAAGCCAUUCUCAGUUCGGAUUGUAGGCUGCAACUCGCCUACAUGAAGCCGGAAUUGCUAGUAAUCGCGGAUCAGCAUGCCGCGGUGAAUACGUUCCCGGGCCUUGUACACACCGCCCGUCACACCACGAGAGUUUGUAACACCCGAAGUCGGUGAGGUAACCUUUGGAGCCAGCCGCCUAAAGGU
rnacentral:rRNA from 2 species